rnacentral:rRNA from 1 species
CCGCUGAAAUUAAGCAUAUAAUUAAGCGGAGGAAAAGAAACUAACAAGGAUUCCCCUAGUAAGGGCGACUGAAGCGGGAAGAGCUCACACUGUGAAUCUGUGCAAAAUUGUUUUUGCACCGAGUUGUGGUCUGUAGAGGCAAUCGAUGCAGUGAUGUUUUCCUGCACGGCACACCGGGUGAAGUCCUUUGGAAAAGGGCAGCAGAGAGGGUGAGACUCCCGUACUUGCCUGGACGCCGCAGAUUGUUUUCGACGAGUCGAGUUGUUUGGGAUUGCAGCUCAAAGUGGGUGGUAAAUUCCAUCUAAAGCUAAAUACUGGUGGGAGACCGAUAGCGUACAAGUACCGUGAGGGAAAGAUGCAAAGAACUUUGAAAAGAGAGUUAAAGAGUACCUGAAAUUGCUGAAAGGGAAGCGAAGGAAACUAGUGUUUGCCUUGCCAUAUUUCCUCAGUCCGCAGGGUUGGGGCGCUGUGGCGGGCAUGCGUCAGCGUUGGUUGGCUUCGGCAGAUACGUCCAAAGGGAGUUGACCUUUGCAGCUGGUGCUGGAGAAGACCGAUGUUGACGAAAUGGUUUUCUUUACCCCGUCUUGAAACCGGGACCAAGG